rnacentral:rRNA from 1 species
ACAUGCAGUCGAGCGGACAGAUGGGAGCUUGCUCCCUGAAGUUAGCGGCGGACGGGUGAGUAACACGUGGGUAACCUGCCUGUAAGACUGGGAUAACUCCGGGAAACCGGGGCUAAUACCGGAUGGUUGUUUGAACCGCAUGGUUCAAACAUAAAAGGUGGCUUCGGCUACCACUUACAGAUGGACCCGCGGCGCAUUAGCUAGUUGGUGAGGUAACGGCUCACCAAGGCGACGAUGCGUAGCCGACCUGAGAGGGUGAUCGGCCACACUGGGACUGAGACACGGCCCAGACUCCUACGGGAGGCAGCAGUAGGGAAUCUUCCGCAAUGGACGAAAGUCUGACGGAGCAACGCCGCGUGAGUGAUGAAGGUUUUCGGAUCGUAAAGCUCUGUUGUUAGGGAAGAACAAGUACCGUUCGAAUAGGGCGGUACCUUGACGGUACCUAACCAGAAAGCCACGGCUAACUACGUGCCAGCAGCCGCGGUAAUACGUAGGUGGCAAGCGUUGUCCGGAAUUAUUGGGCGUAAAGGGCUCGCAGGCGGUUUCUUAAGUCUGAUGUGAAAGCCCCCGGCUCAACCGGGGAGGGUCAUUGGAAACUGGGGAACUUGAGUGCAGAAGAGGAGAGUGGAAUUCCACGUGUAGCGGUGAAAUGCGUAGAGAUGUGGAGGAACACCAGUGGCGAAGGCGACUCUCUGGUCUGUAACUGACGCUGAGGAGCGAAAGCGUGGGGAGCGAACAGGAUUAGAUACCCUGGUAGUCCACGCCGU